AUGACUUUAAUGGUGUUAAUAUAUUAUAACUGGGUUUAUUAAUAUAUUAUAACUGGUUUAAUGACUUUAAUGAUGUUAAUAUAUUAUAACUGGUUUAUUAAUAUAUUAUAACUGGGUUUAAUGACUUUAAUGAUGUUAAUAUAUUAUAACUGGGUUUAUUAAUAUAUUAUAACUGGUUUAAUGACUUUAAUGAUGUUAAUAUAUUAUAACUGGUUUAUUAAUAUAUUAUAACUGGGUUUAAUGACUUUAAUGAUGUUAAUAUAUUAUAACUGGUUUAUUAAUAUAUUAUAACUGGUUUAAUGACUAAUGUUUAGCUGUAGUUAGGGUUGGGCAUCGAGAACCGAUUCCUACUUCCAGUGGAAUCGUUUCUUUAUUGGAAUCGUUUAGGUUUCCGUAGCGACCAGGCUCUUGUUGUGUUGCAGCCGUGGAGCUCAGUAAGCAGCGCUCUAGUCCGGCUUUAUUUUACGCUGGGGAAAAAAGCUUUA